rnacentral:rRNA from 1 species
UACGUAGGGUGCGAGCGUUAAUCGGAAUUACUGGGCGUAAAGCGUGCGCAGGCGGUUCGUUGUGUCGGCGGUGAAAGCCCCGGGCUUAACCUGGGAAUGGCCGUUGAAACUGGCGAACUGGAGUGCGGCAGAGGGGGGUGGAAUUCCGCGUGUAGCAGUGAAAUGCGUAGAGAUGCGGAGGAACACCGAUGGCGAAGGCAGCCCCCUGGGCUAACACUGACGCUCAGGCACGAAAGCGUGGGGAGCAAACAGG